UUUCCGUAGGUGAACCUGCGGAAGGAUCAUUAUUGACUUGUCAUGGGGUCCGAUGCUGGCAGCCAGUGUUUGGACGCAUCUGCUUGCCCCAACCAUCAUCUUCUUCCAAGAACCUGUGGACCUCUUUGAGGGGGUCUUGAUUUGGUUUCGUCUCUUGGGUGCUUUUCUCACAUUCCCUUAACUCACUAUACGCUAUUAACAAUUUUUAACUUGCUCUGUUCCGCAAGGCCAUUAAUAUAAUACAACUUUUAACAACGGAUCUCUUGGCUCUC
rnacentral:misc_RNA from 1 species